CAAAACAAGAUCCAAGAUGCACUGUAGAUCUAAAGAUGUAUCAUGAGGUCAAAACAAUAUCCAAGGUACUCUACAGAUCUAAAGAAUUAUUCCAACACGAGAUGAGAGAAUUCCUAACACUAAAUGGUGGGUGCUUGUUUCUAUGUUUUGGCAAACACCUUAAAUCUCAUGUAUAGAAACUUGAUUUCCGCUUUCACGUUUCAACAGAUUAAUUAGGACCUAACUGCACUCAUCACUAUAAUCCAUAAGUAAUCUCCAACACGAUUGCUUGCAAAUGGAAAAUGAAACAGAAAAGGGAGGACCUCAUUUAGUAAGCCAUUUAACCCCUAAUAACUCUUUGAAACUUGUUUUGUAAGCAAUGUAUCAAUUAGAAGUAUUGUUGACCAACACAAACACACCAUGACACCAAGACAGAGAAUUAAAUAGGCAAAAAUUAACCAGUCAUCAACAUACCUCCAACAUUAAAAGAAAAGGCUACUCCCAUUUUUUGGUAGAACUAUCAUGUGUCUGCUGCAAGUACAGUUUCUAAAAAUGGAAUCAUUUUAUAGCAUGGAGCAUCUUAUCUUCUAAUACAGAAAUACAAAAUCCUAACCACCAAGUGAUAACCAAGUAUUAUCACAAAAUGGCACCAGAUCCACAUAUCUGCCCGACAAGAAAAAUUUGAGG